UCUACGUUUCUGUGCACAAUGUCCAACAUACUCAUACUCCUUCUUCUGAUGUCUUUCAGCUCAUGUUCUGACUCUCAGAAUGUUGUGGCUCAGGAGUCUGCAGUAUCAGUUCUCCCUGGUGGAAGUGUCGGUCUUUCCUGUAGUUGGACAGGAGGCUCAGUAACUGGCAAUAACUACCCAUGCUGGGUACAUCAGACACCUGGGAGUACCCCUAAGCUUGCAGUUGGAAGUACUAGUACUGGCAAUCCAAACUAUAGACCCUCAUGGACCCCGGAACGAUUCACUGGCUCAAUCUCUGGUGGAAAAGCCAUUCUCUCUAUCAACAGAGCCCAGGCAGAGGAUGAUGGUGUAUAUUACUGUGUUCUGUGGAUUAGUAGUGCUCCCACAGUGUUACAACUUAUUGCACAACAGCGACAUUAACUUCCUAUUUUCUUUGUCAUAGAGACUUUCUGUAGAAGCCAAGAAAGAAAACUCCAGAAGUUCUAGCAGAAAGACCUGAAAAUAAUUUGGUGUGGGGGCUAUUCCAAUAUUGCCUCCUCCCGAAAAA